GAGUUGUUUACCAGGCUACUGUAUUACACCCCUGUCGCCAUCCUUGCUUCCAUCAUCAUGUCUGCACUUCCUGGACUUAUUGACAUUAAUGAAGCUUACCGUAUCUGGAAGGUUGACAAACUAGAUUUCCUAGCUUGCCUCGGUGCCUUUCUUGGAGUCUUGUUCAAAUCAGUGGAGAUCGGUCUUCUAGUAGCGGUAAUUUCUUAUCCUUUUCUUCUACACUUCAAUAUAUAAAAAGCUUAAUAUAUAUAUCAUACACCUACUAGAUAAUAGUACAUUACCUAUUUAAUAUUCCCAGCCUGGAUAAUAGCAACAAAGGCACAAACCAGACCACACGAUAUUAUAAAUUCACUACCAACUAAAAAACAUGUGGAUAUGAUCAACAGGGGAUGCUAUGUUAUUUCAAACAUUGAAUGUUCAGAAUUGAAAGAAAUUAAAACUCAUUGCGACUUGUGGGUUCCAUUCCAUCUCAUAAUUGAUUUUUGAUUGAUCCAUACAAUUAUCUACACAGGGAGUCAAAAGUUCACACCCUCUUGAAACCCGUAAAUUUUUUUUUUACCAGACUUAUGGACCCCCAGUGGCCUGUUUUUCCACUACUUGCAACUAUUGCUUUCACCCAGCUAUGCGAAUGAGUAGAUCACAGUUUGCUUGUAAGCUAAUGUAUAGACAAAAAAGUAAGUAGCAUAUACAGCACAGUAAAAAACUCGUGUUUCAGUCCCCUAUAAAACAAAUAAGUUUUUACUCAACUACUCUUUUAGUCCUAUAUUCGGUGGCUUUGAUUUUCCAUGCCUACAAAUUUCGCAAAAUUUAUCUCCGUCUCAUUCUUCAAAACCUAUUCAACUUUCCAGAUUGAACUGUUUGUUUUUUAUUUUUUCAAAGGAGGCGUGAUUUGUAUAAAUGGGGUUUUUUGUGUUACUCACAUAAAACCAUCCUGUUUGAAACUUUUAAUGAGUAAAUAAUUACAAUUUUGCAUGUAGAAUUUGGAGAGGGAUCAAUUGGUUACUAAUAGGGAAAUUAAAUUUGCAAUAAAUUGCAGGUAGCUAUUUCAUUUGCCAAGGUGUUGCUGAAUUCCAUCCGACCAGCCGUUGAACAACUAGGAAGACUUCCAAGAACAGACAUCUUUUGUGAGGUGGAUCAAUAUCCCAUGGCUGUUAAAACACCAGGACUAUUCACACUUCGCAUAAACUCGAGCUUACUUUG
rnacentral:lncRNA from 1 species